UACGUAGGGUGCGAGCGUUGUCCGGAAUUAUUGGGCGUAAAGGGCUCGUAGGCGGUUUGUCGCGUCGGGAGUGAAAACCCAGGGCUUAACCCUGGGCUGGCUUCCGAUACGGGCAGACUAGAGGUAUGCAGGGGAGAACGGAAUUCCUGAUGUAGCGGUGAAAUGCGCAGAUAUCAGGAGGAACACCGGUGGCGAAGGCGGUUCUCUGGGCAUUACCUGACGCUGAGGAGCGAAAGUGUGGGGAGCGAACAGG
rnacentral:rRNA from 1 species